rnacentral:rRNA from 1 species
GAUCAUGGCUCAGGAUGAACGCUGGCGGCGUGCUUAACACAUGCAAGUCGAACGAAGCACUUUAAUUGAUUUCUUCGGAAUGAAGUUUUUGUGACUGAGUGGCGGACGGGUGAGUAACGCGUGGGUAACCUGCCUCAUACGAGGGGGAUAACAGUUGGAAACGACUGCUAAUACCGCAUAAGCGCACGGGAUUGCAUGAUCCAGUGUAGAAAAACUCCGGUGGUAUGAGAUGGACCCGCG